GAUGAACGCUGGCGGUAUGCCUAAUACAUGCAAGUCGUGCGGAAAGGCCUCUUCGGAGGUACUCGAGCGGCGGACGGCAGAGUAACGCGUAGGAACAUACCCCAAACUGAGGGAUAACUGCUCGAAAGAGUAGCUAAUACCGCAUGUGGUCUUCGGACUAAAGCUUCGGCGGUUUGGGAAUGGCCUGCGUUCGAUUAGCUAGUUGGUGAGGUAAUUGCUCACCAAGGCGACGAUCGAUAGCUGGUCUGAGAGGAUGAUCAGCCUGACUGGAACUGAGACACGGUCCAGACUCCUACGGGAGGCAGCAGUAGGGAAUUUUCCACAAUGGGCGAAAGCCUGAUGGAGCAAUACCGCGUGCAGGAUGAAGGCCUUCGGGUCGUAAACUGCUUUAUGUGAGAAGAAUUUGACGGUAACACAUGAAUAAGGGUCGGCGUAACUACGUGCCAGCAGCCGCGGUAAU
rnacentral:rRNA from 1 species